GUUGAGUUGAGUUGAGUUUAAUGAGCAAUGCCUUUGUGGUCAAAAGUCAUUGAAACAGAAGUAUUUGACUGAGCAAAGUGCAAAAAAGGACCAUAAUGGAAUAAAAGCAAUAAAGUAAAAUGCUUUUUCAUAUACUUCAUUUUUGCAAUAAGAUAACUCAUGCACGAAUAUUGAGUGAAGUGCAGAUGGAGGGACUGUUUUCAGUCUAGAAUCUUGAUAUGCACUUUUGGUAUACAUAUUUUAAGUUUACCAUACGCUAAUCUCUAGGCUGAUAUAAUGUCAAGAAUGAAAAACCUUCUAUUCA
rnacentral:misc_RNA from 1 species